GAAUGAUAAAAAGAAACGGCAAAGAAAGCCAGACAAAAAUCUAAUCUUUGAAGACGAAUGUGUACAUAUCUAGAGAGAGAAUUGUACAUAAAUAUGGAUGAUUUUUUAGCAAAAAUGCAGAGAUGGGUGAAAUGGUUGGUGGGUCUUGUAUGUAUGUGCAGAGUAGAUAGGGAGCUCUCAUAAAGCAGGAAGGGAAGCUUAGUUUGCAAUGGAGGAAACCACAGAAAGGGAGGGAGGGAGAGAGAGAAACAGUAAAGGAAAA
rnacentral:misc_RNA from 1 species